UCUCCUUCCUGCUGCCUUGUAAAGAAGAUGCAUUGUUUUCCUCUUCGCUUUCUGCCACAAUUGUAAGUUUCCUGAGGCCUCCCCAGCCAUGCUGAACUCCUUGUUAAGGACGUGCCUGCUUCUCCUUCGCCUUCCACCGUGAUUGUAAGUUUCCUGAGGCCUUCCCAGCAAUGCAGAACCGGCUCACCGGCAGCUGUUCUCCCCAUCCGUGUGCAGGGACGUCUCGGCCCGUCGAAGACCCAGGCGGGCAAAGGAGUGGUACAAGCCAGGUUUGGGCACCAUGUGAUAAGAUGACCUGCAGGUCUGGCCUUGGAUUUCUGCAGAGGUUUGUUGGGAAGGCAUCACUUAGGAGGCUGGAAGACCAUGAGAAAGUCUCACCUGGAAGCGGUGGAAGUCCUGCG